rnacentral:rRNA from 1 species
GAUGAACGCUAGCGACAGGCCUAACACAUGCAAGUCGAGGGGCAGCACAUGAGUAGCAAUACGAUGGUGGCGACCGGCGCACGGGUGAGUAACACGUAUGCAACCUGCCUGUAAGAGGGGGAUAACCCGGAGAAAUUCGGACUAAUACCGCAUAAUACCACGAGACUGCAUGGUUUUGUGGUUAAACAUUUAUGGCUUACAGAUGGGCAUGCGUAUGAUUAGAUAGUUGGUAGGGUAACGGCCUACCAAGUCUACGAUCAUUAGGGGUUCUGAGAGGAAGGUCCCCCACACUGGUACUGAGACACGGACCAGACUCCUACGGGAGGCAGCAGUGAGGAAUAUUGGUCAAUGGGCGAGAGCCUGAACCAGCCAAGUCGCGUGAAGGAAGAAGGUUCUAUGGAUUGUAAACUUCUUUUGCAGGGGAAUAAAGGACGGUACGUGUACUGUUUUGUAUGUACCUUGCGAAUAAGGAUCGGCUAACUCCGUGCCAGCAGCCGCGGU